rnacentral:rRNA from 1 species
UACGAAGGGGGCUAGCGUUGUUCGGAAUUACUGGGCGUAAAGCGCACGUAGGCGGACUACUAAGUCAGGGGUGAAAUCCCGGGGCUCAACCCCGGAACUGCCUUUGAUACUGAUAGUCUCGAGUCCGGAAGAGGUGAGUGGAAUUCCGAGUGUAGAGGUGAAAUUCGUAGAUAUUCGGAGGAACACCAGUGGCGAAGGCGGCUCACUGGUCCGGUACUGGACGCUGAGGUGCGAAAGCGUGGGGAGCAAACAGGG